AAACCUGAUACAAUGCAGCAUGCUCAGAGAGGACAAUGUUAUUGUUGUUGGCUCUAACACGUCAAAACAACAGUCUUGAAAACUUGUGUCUAAAGAUGUGAUGUCACUAUGUUGACAGCAGAGCAGAGAUGAAGCAUCCUGGUGGAAGCCUUUGGUUUCUCUGCACCCUCUACUGCCUGAAACAGCGCUGUGGGUCCUCACACCUCUCUGAGUCGAUCCUUCCCUUUCCGGAGGUACUACAGCUGUUAGUAUUAUUUCCUAAGACAGUGUGUUUAUCUUGUGAGGAUGUGAAAGGGGAAAAGAUGGGAAACAGUUUUUCUGUGCACUUUAUUGUCAUCCACUGAAGAGCGUUCCCUGAAAUGAAAGUGAACCCUCCGCCAGGCACUUGGUGACAGCGCUCAGGCUGCGGCACAUGGAAUGAAG
ensembl:lncRNA